rnacentral:rRNA from 1 species
CUCGUAGGCGGUUCGUCGCGUCCGGUGUGAAAGUCCAUCGCUUAACUGUGGAUCCGCGCCGGGUACGGGCGGGCUUGAGUGCGGUAGGGGAGACUGGAAUUCCCGGUGUAACGGUGGAAUGCGUAGAUAUCGGGAAGAACACCAAUGGCGAAGGCAGGUCUCUGGGCCGUUACUGACGCUAAGGAGCGAAAGCGUGGGGAGCGAACA